rnacentral:rRNA from 1 species
AGAUUGAACGCUGGCGGAUGCUUUACACAUGCAAGUCGAACGGCAGCACGGACUUUGUCUGUAAGGAGUGGCGAAACGGGUGAGUAAUGUAUCGAACGUGCCUAGUAGCGGGGGAUAACUACGCGAAAAAGCGUAGCUACUACCGUAUACGUUCUUCGGGGGAAAGCGGGGGACCUUCGGGCCUCGCAAUUAUUAGAGCGCUCGAGCAUCGGAUUAGCUAGUUGGUGGGGCAACGGCUCACCAAGGCGACGAUCCGUAGCUGGUUUGAGAGGACGACCAGCCACACUGGGACCGAGACACGGCCCAGACUCCUACGGAGGCAGUGGGGAAUUUUGACAAUGGGGGAAAACCCCGAUCCAGCCAUCCCGCCGUGUAAAAGGGAUGAAGGCCUUUCGGUGGUUGUAAAGCGCACUUUUAGAAGGUGAAAGAAACGGCACGGAUAAUACCCCGUGCAACUGACGGCACCUGCGGUGAAUAAGCACCACAACUACGUGCCAGCAGCCGCGGUAAUACGUAGGUGCAAGAAGCGGUGUUAAUCGAAUACUUUACGGGCGUAAGCGCGCGCAGGCGGUUCGGAAAGAAAGAUGCAAAAUCCCAGAGCUUAACUCUUGAACCGCAUUUUUAACUACCGAGCCGAGCGUAACGAGGAGGUGGAAUUCCGCGCGUAGCAGUGAAAUGCGUAGAUAUGUGCGCGGAGUGAACACCAUGGCGAAGGCAGCCUCCUGGGAUAACACUGACGCUCAUGCACGAAAGCGUGGGAUAAACAGGAUUAGAUACCCCGGUAGUCCACGCCCUAAACGAUGCCGCAACUAGCUGUUAGCCUGCCUUGCAGCGCAGCUAACGCGUGAAGCGCCGCUGACCUCUAUCGGGGAGUACGGUCGCAAGAUUAAAACCUCGUGCCGGAAUUGACGGGGACUCGCACAAGCGGUGGAUGAUGUGGAUUAAUUCGAUGCAAUGCUAAAAACCUUACCUACUCCUUGACAUGUCUGAAGUCCCAGGAGAUUUUUGGGAGUGCUCGCAAGAGAACCGGAACACAGGUGCUGCAUGGCUGUCAGCUCGUGUCGUGCGGAGAUGUUGGGUUAAGUCCCAACGAGCGCAACCUUGUCAUUAGUUGCUACGAAAGGGCACUUGACGAGACUGCCGGUGACAAACUGGAGGAAGGUGGGGAUGACGUCAAGCUCUCAUGGCCCUUAUGGGUAGGGGCUUCUCAGCAUACGCUGCCAGCGGCUGAACAUGCCGAAGUCGGGGGACAGAGGGUCGCCGUAACCCAGGCGAGGUGGGGAGCCAAUCCCAGAAACCCGAUCGUAGUCCGGAUCGUGUAGUUCGUAACCGACUGCGUGAAGUCGGAAUCGCUAGUAAUCGCGGAUCAGCAUGUCGCGGUGAAUACGUUCCCGGGUCUUGUACACACCGCCCGUCACACCAUGGGAGUGGGUUUUACCAGAAGUAGUUAGCCUAACUGUAAGUGAGUGGGCGAUUAUUAUUGGUAGAUUCAUGACUGGGGUGGUCGUAACAAGGUAA